GAUGAACGCUAGCGGCAGGCCUAAUACAUGCAAGUCGAACGGUGUCUUCGGACAUAGUGGCGCACGGGUGCGUAACACGUAUGCAACCUACCUUACAUUGGGGGAUAGCCUUUCGAAAGGGAGAUUAAUACCGCAUAAGACAGUAGCUGGGCAUCCAGCAGCUGUUAAAGAUUUAUCGAUGUAAGCUGGGCAUGCGUCCAAUUAGCUAGUUGGUGAGGUAACGGCUCACCAAGGCAAUGAUUGGUAGGGGAACUGAGAGGUCAAUCCCCCACACUGGAACUGAGAUACGGGCCAGACUCCUACGGGAGGCAGCAGUAGGGAAUAUUGGGCAAUGGGCGCAAGCCUGAUCCAGCCAUUCCGCGUGAGUGAAGAAGGCCUUCGGGUUGUAAAGCUCUUUCGGCAGGAACGAAACGGUCUUGGUUAAUACCUGAGGCUAAUGACGGUACCUGAAGAAGAAGCACCGGCUAACUACGUGCCAGCAGCCGCCGUAAGAC
rnacentral:rRNA from 1 species